rnacentral:rRNA from 1 species
GACGAACGCUGGCGGCGUGCUUAACACAUGCAAGUCGAACGGAAAGGCCCUGCUUUUGUGGGGUGCUCGAGUGGCGAACGGGUGAGUAACACGUGAGUAACCUGCCCUUGACUUUGGGAUAACUUCAGGAAACUGGGGCUAAUACCGGAUAGGAGCUCCUGCUGCAUGGUGGGGGUUGGAAAGUUUCGGCGGUUGGGGAUGGACUCGCGGCUUAUCAGCUUGUUGGUGGGGUAGUGGCUUACCAAGGCUUUGACGGGUAGCCGGCCUGAGAGGGUGACCGGCCACAUUGGGACUGAGAUACGGCCCAGACUCCUACGGGAGGCAGCAGUGGGGAAUAUUGCACAAUGGGCGGAAGCCUGAUGCAGCAACGCCGCGUGCGGGAUGACGGCCUUCGGGUUGUAAACCGCUUUCGCCUGUGACGAAGCGUGAGUGACGGUAAUGGGUAAAGAAGCACCGGCUAACUACGUGCCAGCAGCCGCGGUGAUACGUAGGGUGCGAGCGUUGUCCGGAUUUAUUGGGCGUAAAGGGCUCGUAGGUGGUUGAUCGCGUCGGAAGUGUAAUCUUGGGGCUUAACCCUGAGCGUGCUUUCGAUACGGGUUGACUUGAGGAAGGUAGGGGAGAAUGGAAUUCCUGGUGGAGCGGUGGAAUGCGCAGAUAUCAGGAGGAACACCAGUGGCGAAGGCGGUUCUCUGGGCCUUUCCUGACGCUGAGGAGCGAAAGCGUGGGGAGCGAACAGGCUUAGAUACCCUGGUAGUCCACGCUGUAAACGGUGGGUACUAGGUGUGGGGUCCAUUUCACGGGUUCCGUGCCGUAGCUAACGCUUUAAGUACCCCGCCUGGGGAGUACGGCCGCAAGGCUAAAACUCAAAGGAAUUGACGGGGCCCCGCACAAGCGGCGGAGCAUGCGGAUUAAUUCGAUGCAACGCGUAGAAUCUUACCUGGGUUUGACAUGGAUCGGGAGUGCUCAGAGAUGGGUGUGCCUCUUUUGGGGUCGGUUCACAGGUGGUGCAUGGCUGUCGUCAGCUCGUGUCGUGAGAUGUUGGGUUAAGUCCCGCAACGAGCGCAACCCUUGUUCACUGUUGCCAGCACGUUAUGGUGGGGACUCAGUGGAGACCGCCGGGGUCAACUCGGAGGAAGGUGGGGAUGACGUCAAGUCAUCAUGCCCCUUAUGUCCAGGGCUUCACGCAUGCUACAAUGGCUGGUACAGAGAGUGGCUAGCCUGUGAGGGUGAGCGAAUCUCGGAAAGCCGGUCUCAGUUCGGAUUGGGGUCUGCAACUCGACCUCAUGAAGUCGGAGUCGCUAGUAAUCGCAGAUCAGCAACGCUGCGGUGAAUACGUUCCCGGGGCU